CAGUAGCCACGGUAAUACGAAGGGUGCAAGCGUUACUCGGAAUUACUGGGCGUAAAGCGUGCGUAGGUGGUGGUUUAAGUCCGUCGUGAAAGCCCUGGGCUCAACCUGGGAAUUGCAGUGGAUACUGGGUCACUAGAGUGUGGUAGAGGAUAGUGGAAUUUCCGGUGUAGCAGUGAAAUGCGUAGAGAUCGGAAGGAACAUCUGUGGCGAAGGCGACUAUCUGGGCCAACACUGACACUGAGGCACGAAAGCGUGGGGAGCAAACAGGAUUAGAUACCCGAGUAGUCCCUGUCUCUUAUAC
rnacentral:rRNA from 1 species